rnacentral:lncRNA from 1 species
AAAGAGUUUCUUUCUUAUUCUUUUUUUUUUUUUUUGAAUUGAAGUUUUAUCUUAUUCAUAUUCUAUGAAAACAUUUCUUUAAAAGUUUUGAUGUUAAUUAUCGAUUUUUGACCUAAUUGUAUAUAUUAUUUAUGAUUAAAUGAUAAUACAAACAUAAAAUCAUUCCGUAUAAAAUGUGAAUAUACCUAGUUUCAUGAACAUUAUUUAGUGGAAAAGUAAAUCUAUAAUACCAUGUUACUAGAACAACUUUAGCGAGCUUGUUUUACCUAUAGAAGCAAGUGCAUUGUGCCAUAGUACAAUUCUCGACUAAGUCAUCAAUGUGCCUAUCUUAUCUUACUUUCGAUUAUUACAUGGCCAAACUGUUAAGCCUAACUUUGAAUCUAAUAAUAUGUUUAAUAAUGUAUGUCUUGUAUUUUUCAAAGAACUCAUUCGUUUCAUACAAUGAAUGAGAUCUCAAAUAAUUUACCUUAGUCAUUGCAUUAUC